AACGAACGCUGGCGGCGCGCCUAAUACAUGCAAGUCGAGCGAGAAGACGUAGCAAUACGUUUGUAAAGCGGCGAACGGGUGAGGAAUACAUGGGUAACCUACCCUCGAGUGGGAAUAACUAGCCGAAAGGUUAGCUAAUACCGCGUACGCUCCUUGGACUUCGGUUCAGGGAGGAAAGCGAUACCGUGGGUAUCGCGCUCUUGGAUGGGCUCAUGUCCUAUCAGCUUGUUGGUGAGGUAACGGCUCACCAAGGCUUCAACGGGUAGCUGGUCUGAGAGGACGAUCAGCCACACUGGCACUGCGACACGGGCCAGACUCCUACGGGAGGCAGCAGUAAGGAAUAUUGCGCAAUGGGCGAAAGCC
rnacentral:rRNA from 1 species